rnacentral:lncRNA from 1 species
AGCUGGAGACUUAGGGAGGAGACGUCUUGUUCUAGUUUCAGGGUCGUGGAGCUGCAGACUGAGGCAGGAGCAUUGUUGUUAUAGUUCGAGGGUCAGAAAGCUGGCGACCCAGGGAGGAGAGGUCUUGUUCUGGUCUGAGGGUCGUGGAGCUGCAGACCCAGGGAGGAGCAAUUUUGUUGUAGUUCGAGGGUCAGGAAGCUGGCGACCCAGGGAGGAGAGGUCUUGUUCUAGUUUGAGGGUCGUGGAGCUGCAGACCCAGGGAGGAGCCAUGUUGGUUUGAAUGUUGUGGAUCUG